UUCUUAUCUAGAGAAGUCGAGGGACUGGCCUGAUGACGCUUCAGCAACCGUCGUUUUGCGACAAGGUGCUAAUCCCAGCCGGCAUUUAAAACGCCGGAGGGAUAAGAA
rnacentral:ncRNA from 2 species